UACGAAGGGGGCAAGCGUUGUUCGGAUUCAUUGGGCGUAAAGGGUGCGUAGGUGGCGAGGUAAGUCGGAUGUGAAAUCUCAGGGCUCAACCCUGAAACUGCAUUCGAUACUGCCUUGCUCGAGGACUGGAGAGGAGAUUGGAAUUCACGGUGUAGCAGUGAAAUGCGUAGAUAUCGUGAGGAAGACCAGUGGCGAAGGCGGCUCACUGGCCCGGUACUGACGCUGAGGCGCGAAAGCGUGGGGAGCAAACAGG
rnacentral:rRNA from 1 species